CACACAUAUGGGAUUAGACUGGGUCUGUGAGGAGAGGUGGAGGCAGCCUGCAAGAGUGACGAAUGAGAGAGGCAGCUUAGAGCACGCUCUGUGGGAAGCUGCUUUACAUAUAAAAGACAGCCUGGGGAAGCCAGGCAGGAGAGAGGAGGCUGAGGUGCCUGGUGCCCAGAGCCUGUGUCUGGGUGGAUAAGGAAGGCCCCUGGCCUGGGUGGAGAGGAAAAGGUUUUGGGCCUUAUUUGAAGAGAAGGAUGGGGGAACAUGGGGGCAGUAGCAUGGAUGUGGUGAUGCCCAUGCCUUCCUUAUUCCAGCAAGCCCUAGCCCGACCACUUUCCCUCUUUUGCCAUGUCCUUCUCUGCUGCAAAAUAGUGAUGUGGGCCUGCUGUACAUGUGGGCUGAGCCUUAUUUGUUCUCCAUCUCAUUUGCUGCCAAUAUAUGAGAGUAGCCCAGGCACUCGAGAAGCCCACAAAGAAAACAAAAAUGAGGAGUCUCAGCCGAGUCUGCAGAAAGAGAAGAGACAGAAGAAAAUACCAGAAAAGGCACUGAAGAUGGGGUGA
rnacentral:lncRNA from 1 species